GAAAUGCGAUAAGUAAUGUGAAUUGCAGAAUUCGGUGAAUCAUCGAAUCUUUGAACGCACCUUGCGCUCCUUGGUAUUCCUUGGAGCAUGCCUGUUUGAGUAUCAUGAAAUCUUCAAAGUAAAUCUUUUGUUAACUCAAUUGGUUUCUACUUUGGUAUUGGAGGUCUUUGCAGCUUCACACCUGCUCCUCUUUGUUCAUUAGCUGGAUCUCAGUGUUAUGCUUGGUUCCACUCGGCGUGAUAAGUUAUCUAUCGCUGAGGACACUGUAAAAGGUGGCCAAGGUAAAUGCAGAUGAACCGCUUCUAAUAGUCCAUUGACUUGGACAAUACUUUUAUGAUCUGAUCUCAAAUCAGGUAGGACUACCCGCUGAACUUAAGC
rnacentral:misc_RNA from 1 species